CAAGUCGAACGAACCUUUCGGGGUUAGUGGCGGACGGGUGAGUAACGCGUGAGAAUCUGCCCUCAGGAGGGGGAUAACGACUGGAAACGGUCGCUAAUACCCCAUAUGCCGAGAGGUGAAAUGAAUUUCGCCUGAGGAUGAGCUCGCGUCUGAUUAGCUAGUUGGUGGGGUAAAGGCCUACCAAGGCGACGAUCAGUAGCUGGUCUGAGAGGAUGAUCAGCCACACUGGGACUGAGACACGGCCCAGACUCCUACGGGAGGCAGCAGUGGGGAAUUUUCCGCAAUGGGCGAAAGCCUGACGGAGCAACGCCGCGUGAGGGAUGAAGGCCUCUGGGCUGUAAACCUCUUUUCUCAAGGAAGAAGAUCUGACGGUACUUGAGGAAUAAGCCACGGCUAAUCCCGUGCCAGCAGCCGCGGUAAUACGGGAGUGGCAAGCGUUAUCCGGAAUUAUUGGGCGUAAAGCGUCCGCAGGCGGCCUUGUAAGUCUGUCGUUAAAGCGUGGAGCUUAACUCCAUUUCAGCGGUGGAAACUACAAGGCUUGAGUGUGGUAGGGGCAGAGGGAAUUCCCGGUGUAGCGGUGAAAUGCGUAGAUAUCGGGAAGAACACCAGUGGCGAAGGCGCUCUGCUGGGCCAUAACUGACGCUCAUGGACGAAAGCCAGGGGAGCGAAAGGGAUUAGAUACCCCUGUAGUCCUGGCCGUAAACGAUGAACACUAGGCGUCGGGGGAAUCGACCCCCUCGGUGUCGUAGCCAACGCGUUAAGUGUUCCGCCUGGGGGAGUACGCACGCAAGUGUGAAACUCAAAGGAAUUGACGG
rnacentral:rRNA from 1 species